GAGACCCGCGGCCGCCGCAUUAUAUGACGACGGCACAGUCGGUGCGACUGGAGGGGAAUUUGAACUUCAGGUUGCCAUGUUUGAGGAAGUAUUAUGUGUUGCUGUGCUGUUUAUUGAUGUGGAUCCCAUCAUACGUUCAUUGUUCAGGAGGUUCACUAGACCAAGCAGCCUUUUGGGUUCCUCUAAGUAAGUACUGUAUAGAAUAAUGGGACUGGGAGGAUGGUGUAGGUUUAAAUUUAUUAGACAAGUACAUAUACACCAACAAGACAGUGUACAAGCGGUGUCACAAGAAAGUUUGUUUUCAUUCAUAGGCUUCAUUGUCUUUCCAUCAAUACCUGGUGGGCCGGACUAGGCUCAAAAUGCCCGGGCCGAUU